CCAGAGAACGAAAAACAGACAAAGAACUUUGUCUUGCUUGAUAACUGACCUUACUGAUUACAAGCUAUGGUCACCCAAAUAUGCUUUGAAAGCUAUUGGACUUCAAGCCGUCAGUAUUUAAUAGAGACUGGAAAUAGAAAAAAAUGUAGUUUACUUCCCAAUGUUUUUAUUUGAUUGUCUUUUGAAACAUAUAUUACUUUCAAUUUGUUUUGACUUAAUAUUGCACCUCGAGCUCCUAUUGUCUCACUUUUAGUUUCAUUUUCGUCAGAACACGGCAAGUUUUAAACUGUCACCUGUUUUUGACUGAUAGCGUUGGGUGCACAUAUAACAAGUAUAGCCGAUGCUAAAUACUUUAAAUUUACACCGGGAAAAGGUUUGCAUGAAUCACGUGACUUAUUUUCUUUUUGUUGUAAGAGCUAUUAUUGAGUCACGCGAAUAAUUGUUUGGAAGCAUCUUUUGCGCAGUAGUAAUUCAGUUUCAUCAGAAGACCGAGAAACUGAACACAAUAAGUUAAUAAACUGUAAGCUGUCUGUGCACGAUCGAUAACGUCGGGUGCACAUAUAACAAGUAUAGCCGAUUUUUUAAUGCUUUAAAUUUACACUGGGAGAGGUUUGCAUGAAUCGCGUGACUGAUUUUCUUCUUUUUGUAAGAGUCAUGCGAAAAAUUAAGUCACGCGAAUAAUUGUUUGCGCAGUAGUAAUUCGCUUAACUUUUCCUUCUCUUCUGCUUUUCAGAGGAAACGGUCCUGUUAUUGACGCGUAUUCAAUUUGGUCUCAUUCUGGUCGACUCACCAAAACCAAGGAAAAGGUCCUGUUAUUGACGCGUAUUCAUUUUGGUUUCAUUCUGGUCGACUGACCAAAAACCAGGAAACUCCCUCAGUGCUGUUUCAGUUUCUAUCACUUUGUGUUCCGCUUUUAGGAGAAGACUUACAAACUGAACACAGUAAGUUUAUAAACUGUAAGCUGUUUGUGACUGGUAGCGUGCACAAACACAAGAUCUAGAGUUUACACUGGAAGUGACGUCACGAAUCGCGUGACUGAUUUUCUACCUGCUGUAAGCGCCAAAAGUGAGUCACGCGAAAAACUUAAUCACACAAAUGAUUGUUUGGAAUCACCGUUUUUCAGUAGUAACAAUUUGUUCAACUUUCCCUCUUUGCUUACUUUUCAGGGGAAGAGGUCCUGUUAUUGACGCGUAUUGGUUUUGGUUUCACUCUGGUGACUCACCAAAGCUAAACGCCUCGAGCGGUUUUCGUAGUUUCACUUUCCAAAGUAAGUUUCGACGUGGUAAGUACAGUUCUAGCUAACUUUGCAUCGUCUAGUUUCUAUCUUAACCGGUUGGAAUACUAUUAUAGGCUUUAUUAUGAUAGCCACGAAAUUCAAGCUAUCAUAAAGUGAUGAUCAAUUGCAAAGUCCACUGUUUGCUACUAAACAAAAACGUUUGUGGCUCUGUCAGUUCUGAUGUCUGUUGCCACCGA